AUUUAUUUAUUUUCCCUUUUGUUGCCCUUGCUGUUUUUUUAUUGUUGUUGUAGUUAUUAUUGUUGUUGUAGUUAUUGUUGUUGUUGCUAUUGAUUUUAUCAUUAUUCAAUAGGACAGAGAGAAAUGGAGAGGGGAGCAGAAGACAGAGGGGGAAGAGGAAGAUAGACACCUGCAGACCUGCUUCACCACCUGUGAAGUGACCCCCACUGCAGGAGAAAAAUGGCGUGUUCUCUCUACCAACCUGGGAGAAGGAAGUGUGAAAGGAGAAAGCAGACUGGAGAGACAGGCAUUACUCCAUGAUGAGCUGUCACUGAUGGACACUUGAAAGCUGGCUUGGGAGACACAGCAGGGCCCACCAGGCGGAGAGGCUCCCCAGCGCCCCUCUCUGGGACUGUCACCGCUGCUUCCUACUCCCACCCCGCCCUAGGGGACGUCAGCUCGUCAGCUCGAGGCUUGUUCCCUCCAGACCUGUCUCGGGAAAUAGGGGAGAGGCCUUGGGGUGUUGGGGGAGAACUCCAAGAGCAGCCCCCGAAAAUCAAGAUGCCCUGAGGGGUGAUAGGAAUGGAGCUAGGAGCUGGGGGAAGAAGCGCUGUCACGAAGAUGCGCUCACACCCCUCACCUGCAACCCCUGAGACCCCUGAGACCCCAAGGCCCUUGCGCCUGCGUGCGCCCUGGCGCCUUCUCUUCCCGCACUGAACUUUGUUAGAAAUCGCCGAACUUCCGGGGCGCGCCCCACUGCCUGGGACUGCACAGUAGGGAGCCCCUCUUGGGCCGCAGCCUGCCAGCCUUAACGCGGAUUAAAUGUGAGUGCUGGCCAGGCCUCCAGAAAACACUCUCGGGGGUGCUAUUUUGCCCGGACUCUGGUCUCUUCUAUGCCGAGUUGCACAACAAACCAUUUAAACAUUUUCAGCACAAACCCUCGGUCCUUUGUGAGUUGCACAUUAAAAAGUGUUAUUCGCUU